GUGGUGGAGGCCCAAAGAGCUAAGACCUGCCAGGUCAAGUGUCUGAUUGGAAGCACUAAAGCAGACUCCUGCCAGGGUCUGCCAUGUGCAUGCAGCAGGAUACUGUGUUGUGAAGAUACCCUGAAACUGCAAGCUCCAUGAAUGUAGAAACGAUCUAGCUCACUGCUGUAUCCACAGCGACUGGAAUGGCACCAGACAUAUGAGCCAGUUCUACCCUCUUCCCGGGCAUGACUCUUCCCUUCUGGAGUUCCAGAAAGAGGCACAACUAUGGAAAAAGUAAACACGUCCAACCCCACACUCCUCUGUCCCCGUAGACUAUACCCCAUCAGCGUACACCAUUUGGUUUCUCAGAGCAGCACUGCUGAAAGCCAUUCUGUCUAACUAGGGUUACAGCUUGAUGCAGAUGAACAUAGCAACAUUGGAAGGCACAUCUUAAAGAUGGAAGAGCCACCAGAUGGCAGGAUCCUGGGUCCCCGAAUCACCACUUGGAAGAGAGCAGCACAUCAAUCAAGAAUACACAUUUGGGGGCUUCCCUGCUGGCGCAGUGGUUGAGAGUCCGCCUGCCAAUGCAGGGGACAUGGGUUCGUGCCCCGGUCCGGGAAGAUCCCACAUGCGGCGGAGCGGCUGGGCCCGUGAGCCAUGGCCGCUGAGUCUGCGCGUCCAGAGCCUGUGCUCCGCAACCAGAGAGGACACAACAGUGAGAGGCCCGCGUACAGCAAAAAAAAAAAAAAAAAAAAAAAAAAAAGGAAUACACAUUUGGACCUUUCUUGAGUGAGAACUAAGCAAGCUUCCAUUGCAUUUAAGCCUUUAUAGAUUUGGGGAUUGUUAGUUACAGCAGAUAGCAUUAUCUAAACUAAUGCAGGGUAGAAUCCAAAUCUCCUGACUCCUAGUUCAGUUCUGUUCCCUCCAAACCACAAAUCCACAUGAUAGUAUUAUAAUACCCAAAUUUUAACCCUAAUAAAUAUAUAAAUCACAUUCUAAGUCAUCUAAGAGUAUUAAUACAUGAAGAAUCAAAAUAAAUUGGUAUUAAGAAGGGGCAUCUGCAAUGCACGUAGUUCUGUGUGAAACAAUGGAGAAGGAUGACUCUGAGGAACAAACCCAGAGUCCAGUUUAUGACAAGGUUAGUGCUUGAGGCACUGAUAUGCCAUUUCUGCAUUCCAAGGUUAGGCAGAGUAUUCUGAGGGUUAUAACAGGCAGUUUCCCCUGGCUGAUCUGGAUGUGGCAUGCUAUAAACCCACAUCUCCCAAGGCUCGUUGAACUCCCAAAUGAAAUUGGGAGUUCAAACAAAAUUGCCAAGUAUGAGUGAUUCCCACAGUAGGUCACAAACUAUUUAGACAUAUGGCUGAACCUAACUGCCUUCUCAGUGCAACUGACAGACACUGAAAAGGCCCACAAGAAAUGGCAGGCCAGAAGCAAGGGCAAACCUAUGAAGUAGACAUAAGUUUUCUUUAAUAUAUUAAAACUUACCUUUUAGAAACUCUCUCCACCCUCCUCACACCUACU